CUUUGUCAUUGAACCAGCAGAGCAAGAAGCUGGCCUUGGACAUCCAGAGAACCAUCCAGGGAACAACAAUCUCCAUUUCUAAGAACAGCUGCUGCUGGUGAGGCCUGCUCUCUGACUUGCAUAGCUUGUGUGGCCCACUCUGGGAUGGCUGCAGAUGAAAUAGCAGAGAAUAUUGAUUCAGCUGUCAGCACCAUCGUGACGAAACUACGGGUUAGAAAGGACCGUUGAUAAA